rnacentral:lncRNA from 1 species
GUCGGUGAGCAGGGGCGCCGUCGGGGAGGACGUGAGGUUGAGCGAGGCGAGGCGGACGGACGAGACGGUGAAGGACGGGCGCUGCGGGCGGUACAGGAGGUAGAAGGCGCCGCCGGCGACGGCGGCCACGAAGGCGAGGAGGAUGAUGGCUAGCAGCGCCCAGCAGAAGCAGCAGCAGAAGCUGCACCGGCAGGAACGACCGCGCCGGCGCUUCGCGGGAGCUUGGGGACGGUAGAUGGGCCGCUGGUACAUCUGCGACUUGGGCGCCGGGAACGACGCCGCCGCGUUGCCGUUGCCGGUGCCGGCGCC